rnacentral:rRNA from 1 species
UACGGGGGGGGCAAGCGUUGUUCGGAAUUACUGGGCGUAAAGGGCUCAUAGGCGGCCAACUAAGUCGGAUGUGAAAUCCCCAGGCUCAACUUGGGAACUGCAUCCGAUACUGGAUGGCUUGAAUUCGGGAGAGGGAUGCAGAAUUCCAGGUGUAGCGGUGAAAUGCGUAGAUAUCUGGAGGAAUACCGGUGGCGAAGGCGGCAUCCUGGACCGACAUUGACGCUGAGGAGCGAAAGCUAGGGGAGCAAACGGGG